rnacentral:rRNA from 1 species
CAAGGAAUUUUCCACAAUGGGCGAAAGCCUGAUGGAGCAACGCCGCGUGCGGGAGGACGCCCUUCGGGGUGUAAACCGCUUUUUCGGGGGACGAAGUCAGUGACGGUACCCCGGGAAUAAGGACCGGCUAACUACGUGCCAGCAGCCGCGGUAAGACGUAGGGUCCGAGCGUUGUCCGGAAUUACUGGGCGUAAAGCGCGCGCAGGCGGUUGGUCGCAUCGGCGGUGAAAGCCCCCCGCUCAACGGGGGAGGGUCCGUCGAGAUGGGCCGACUGGAGGCAGGGAGAGGUCAGUGGAAUUCCGGGUGUAGUGGUGAAAUGCGUAGAGAUCCGGAGGAACACCAGUGGCGAAGGCGGCUGACUGGACCUGACCUGACGCUGAGGCGCGAAGGCGUGGGGAGCGAACGG